GUCUACGGCCAUACCACCCUGAAUGCGCCCGAUCUCGUCUGAUCUCGGAAGCUAAGCAGGGUCGGGCCUGGUUAGUACUUGGAUGGGAAAAAAUGGUGCUGAUAGACU
rnacentral:rRNA from 1 species